CCUACGGGAGGCAGCAGUUAGGAAUCUUCUGCAAUGGACGAAAGUCUGACAGAGCGACGCCGCUUGAGGGACGAAGGUCUUCGGAUCGUAAACCUCUGAAACAAGGACGAAAGACCAGCAUGACUGGGGAUGACGGUACUUGUGUAAUAGCACCGGCUAACUCCGUGCCAGCAGCCGCGGUAAUACGGAGGGUGCGAGCGUUACCCGGAAUCACUGGGCGUAAAGGGCGUGUAGGCGGGUCCGUAAGUCUGGCUUUGAAGACCGAGGCUCAACCUCGGGAAUGGGCUGGAUACUGUGGACCUAGACGGAUGGAGAGGCAACUGGAAUUCCUGGUGUAGCGGUGGAAUGCGUAGAUACCAGGAGGAACACCGAUGGCGAAGGCAGGUUGCUGGACAUUUAGUGACGCUGAGGCGCGAAAGUGUGGGGAGCGAACCGGAUUA
rnacentral:rRNA from 1 species